rnacentral:lncRNA from 1 species
UGCCAAAAACUGGCUUCCCUCAAGUAUGAUUCGAUCAACAGUGAUGGAGGACCGGGUAGAUUACGAAUAUGGCAUUAUAAAAUUCGAUCUUCUACCUAUUUACGUAAAAAUUAUAAAAAUAUUAAGUUAAAAUAUAACAAUGAAAAAAAUUUAAACAAGAUUAAAAUUUAUUAUUACCAUUUGCAAUUGAUUGACAGAAAUGUGCUUGUUAUCAAGAUGAAUUAGAGACUCGACAAUUGCUAAAUCAUAUAAAACACGAAAUAAUUUUUAAUAAAAAAACAUUUCUUGAAAAUAUUUAUAAAAAAUAUAAUAAAAAUAGAAUUUACAUAGAAAUAGAAUUUUAGUAAAAAAUUUAAGAGAGAAUUUGAGAGAUUUUUUUAGAGUGGAUUGAGAAAUUUUGAGAGAUAAGACAGAAAUGUGAGAAAUUAAUAGGUGAGGGGUUUAUAUUUUUUUUUUACCGUUUGGGGGGGGGGAACACCUAUUUAAAAUAGCCGUUGGAAGUGACCGUGGGGGGGGGGACACGUUGAGCUGGAUGCAUUUUUCAUUAGCGUGCUGAGCUAGAAGCGCUUUACUGGUUAGAGGGGAAAACGAUUGAGUUUUCCUGAAAACAACUUCAACUGGAAGCGUUUUAUCAAAAACAGUCCAUUCUUGUAAUUUUUCAAAAUAUCAGCCUAGUUCUGUAAAUUUCUUUAAAAAAAAAAGGCUUCAUUUGACAAUUUAGUUUAAUUUUAUAAUAAAUUAAUUUUUAAUUUAAUGAUGGAGAGUUAAAUGGUAAUUUUAUUCAUUUUAGAUUGAGCCCUUAAAUUGGCUCUUGCUGUUAUGCAUGUGUAAUUUUAAGAACCAUUAUUAGUUCCAAUGCGGCGUCAAAUUGAUUUUUGGAAUUAUGUUUAAUAUUUAUUAAAAACAAACAAAUAUUUAAAAAGAUUCUUCAAAUAUAUUUUAGUUUUGAGAAAUAAAUAGUAAAAUAAAAUGAGGUAAGUAAUUAUUCUCUUCUCUCCAUCUCUACUUCAUUUCACAUUUGCUUUUGAAAAAGGAAAAUCACACUCCACUUAAAAUCAAUUGAUGCAAAAUUCAUGAUACACAAUGAGUUUUACUAUGGGGUCCAAAUUCAAUUGGGUAUUGACAAAGAUUGGUCUGGGAAUUCGAUUGUCGAGUAAAGUUUUUUUCCUGGUGGGACCAUUUGGUUGUUAUUCUUGGCAAGGCGAGAAAAAUAAACAUAAGCUAAGCUACCCAGGUAUAUAUAUAUAUUUUGCUUCUUCAGCUUUUGGCUGGUCUUAUUCGUAUCUAUUUCUAAUAAAAUUUCAAUUUAUUUUGUUACACAAAUGAAACAAUAUUCUCUGUUAUGUGACAGAGAAAUUCAAACCAAAAAGAAAAAAGGUAUGACAAGCAAUUGUAAAGUAAAUCACAAUCACCCCUUAGCUUAUGAGUUCCUAGAAACUAUAGCCUGUAAUAGCGAUCAAAAUGGCAAUAGUCAAUCCUGUCCUUGCCCACCAAAGCUUUGUUCCUGCCACCAACAAUGAAUCUCCUCCAUUCUGUAUUUCAUAGAAACAAAUAAUAAAAUUAGAUUCAUAUGUUGUAAACAUCCUCAAUUCAUACAUUGAUUUUGUUCUUUUUUGUUAGUAGAACUUAGAAGGCAUUACCAAAUUGAGACUAGGUGAUGGUGCUGGUGUCGUGUCAUCUGUAGUUGGCACUGCAGGUGGUGCUGGGGGGCUUGGAACUGUUGGUGCUGGUGCUGGUGCAUGGUGGUGUCUCCUGUGCCUGUGCCUGUGCCUUCUCUUGUGCUUGGUGGGAGCUGGUGCAGGAGCCGGUGGCAAAGUAAUGGGUGCAGGUGCUGGGGGCAGCUUUACUGGUGCAGGAGCUGGUGGUUUCUGAGCUGGUGCUGGUGCAGGAGAUACUGGUGGUGGUGAUGGUGGUGGCAAUGCUGGCGGUUGAGCUGGAGCUGUGGUUGGAGGAGUUUGAGGUGGUUGAGGUGGUGGAGUUUGUGGCGGUGGGACGGUUUGGCUUGUAGCUGGUGCAACAGUGGGAGGGGGAGUUGUUGCAGGUGGUUGAGCUGGCGCGAUGGGCGUGGUGGAAGGUGGAGGCGUUGCUGUUGAAGGAGGUGGUGCUGAAGUUGUAGGUGGAGGGGUUGUUGAAGGAGGUGGUGCGGAAGUUGUAGGUGGUGGCGAAGUUGAAGGUGGAGUGGUGGUGGUGGUGGUUGGCGUACUGGAAGGUGAGGCAGCUGGUGUUUGUGCACUCGUAAUGGCUAGUUGAAGGGUGAGAGUAGUUACAAUGAGAGCCCAAAACAUGAAAGCCAUUUUGUUAGAGAUGGGGAAUAGCAUUUGCAAGCAACAAUAUAUAAACACUAAACAACCAGCAAUUCUCAAA